ACCGACCGGGUCUUUCACGCUUUGCAGCCAUGUGAAAGCGCCGGGUGCCAGGUGCCAGGCCGUGCAGCAGUCGGUCACGGUGUGUGGGUGAAAGGCGGGUUCUGGUAGUCCCAGAGUUUGGCCACUUGGGAGAAUGAAAACAAGAUCUACUGCAAACAAACCCUUAUUGAGGGAGAUGGUCCUAAAACCUACUGGACUCGGGAAUUAUCUAACGAUGAGCUGAUUUUGACUUUUGGUGCCGAUGAUGUUGUGUGCACGAGAAUUUAUGUAAGAGAAUAAAGAACUUCAGCUUCCUUGCCCCAUGGAUGCAGUGGAGAAUCAAGAGGCAGGCAUCGUGCGGAGUUCCUGCAUAACAAAUAUCUGUGUGUGCUGUCACUUAUGCAGCAUUGUACGUGCCCGUGUGUGUCAUAUUUGAACCCCUGACUGCCGUUCAGUGUGUUUUGCUUUUGUAUAAUGAACACUGUUCCUCCCACUUUUAUGCCAUCACUUUUCCUGUUCACUUCGUAUUUUGUAGUUGCCAGUCAGUAUAGUUUGGUCAGUUAUUAAAUUAAUUGGGCAUAACUCA